UACGUAGGGGGCUAGCGUUGUCCGGAAUCAUUGGGCGUAAAGCGCGUGUAGGCGGUCCGGUAAGUCCGCUGUGAAAGUCGGGGGCUCAACCCUCGGAUGCCGGUGGAUACUGUCGGGCUUGAGUACGGAAGAGGCGAGUGGAAUUCCUGGUGUAGCGGUGAAAUGUGUAGAGAUCGGGAGGAACACCGGUGGCGAAGGCGGCAUCCUGGACCGGCAUUGACGCUGAGGCGCGAAAGCCAGGGGAGCAAACGGG
rnacentral:rRNA from 1 species